rnacentral:ncRNA from 2 species
UGAAUAUCGGCCAGCCGGGGUGCCCGAUCCCCCGGAUGGGAGGGCUUGAAGGCGAAGCCGGUGACACCGUCACACGAAGGACAACCUUCGGAAACGGUUGAGUCCGGCGCUGACCCGCAACUGUAAUCCGCUUACGCGGAGAGCCAGGACGCCCGCCCCGGUUGGUUUCUCCAU